AAUGCCCCUUGAGGCGUUGCAGCCCAACUAUUGUGUGUUGCGGCUGUGUCGUAAGGCGGCAGAGAGAGAACGGUGGUAGUCUGCACUGGGACUCGGCUACUCACUGAGGACUCGGAGUGAUGCUCUCGCCGACAGU